AAAUUCCCUGAUUUUGAUCACCGCUACAACAUGUACCCGGUGGCAGGGAAGAAGAGUCUAAUUUCACAUGCAUUUCGCACUAAAGUGGUAAAUCCUUCCUACUUGCUUAAUAUUCAUAGAUAACCUAAUUAAGAGGGCAGAAACAAGACUGGGAAUGCUUACUUUUUGAACUGGUGGUGGAUCUGCAGCACACGCUUUGGUAAUAUCUUUGCAGACAAACUCUAUCAAUCAAAGAUAUGUUCAUGAGUGGUUGGAUGGAUACUCAGUGCACCUACAAAAAAAAAUAGAUGUGCUAUCCAGAACUGCGUCCUUGCUGAACAACAGUACACAUGAUUAUAUAUAGGAUUUUCGAUGUAUUCAUAGUUUCUUUCAUACUAGCCGCAUGAAGGUGGAUAAAAAUCAAUACAAGAAAACAGAAAAGAAAAGACAGCAAAACAUGCAUCCACACAUAUCUCAAUUCACCCUGAAGCAUAGACUCUCGUAGAUAACAU
rnacentral:lncRNA from 1 species